rnacentral:ncRNA from 1 species
CACUUUGCUCUGAUGUAAAAUUUACUUUUUCUACACUAUGAUAUGGAGGUUAACGCGUAACCAGCAAGAAAUAUUGGACAAUUUUGGAAACAAAAAUCCAGAUAAGAAAUUAUCUGAGGCCAACUCAGGUGCCAGCAGCCGCGGCCAUACCUGGUCAGAAAGUAAACUACAUGUGGGCAUCUUGAGCAGACACACAAAGAAUUCAGUAGUGAAAUGCAUUUUCUUUUAUACCCUAAAAAGCGUUAUUCUAACUAAACCCCAUAAGUAAACUAGGAUUAGAUACCCUACUAUACAGGAGCCGAACCUAAGUUUUGCCGAAGCAGUAAAAUCUUCUGAUCAAAACUUAAAGAGCAUGGCGGCCCCGAAAAUUAUCAGGGGAACUUACCGAGUAAUAGACAACCCCCUAGGGUCCCCCCUCUUAACUCAAAGCUUGUAUACCGCCGUCUUCAGGCCUAUCUUUAGGAGGGGCCUAAAUUAUCAUAAGACAGGUCAUGGUGCAGCCUAUGUAAGAGAUCAGGCGAGUUACAUUAACAGUUUGACUUACGGAUUUUCAGAGGAAUCACUGAGAAAAAGCUGGACUUGAAAGUAAUGAUUAUAACAGUACAAUUAAAUUUUGAAUGCUUAUUUCGAGGUGUACAAAUCGCCCGUCACUCUCGUUGAAAAAUGAGAUAAGUCGUAACACAGUAGGGGCAGCUGAAGCUGCCCCUA